GCCCCCGUAGCUCAGUGGAUAGAGCAAUGGAUUCCUAAUCCAUGCGCCGCAGGUUCGAUCCCUGCCGGGGGCGCCA
rnacentral:tRNA from 1 species